rnacentral:rRNA from 1 species
CAGAGGGAGGCAAAGCCGCGAGGCAGAGCAAACCCCUAAAAAGCCAUCCCAGUUCGGAUUGCAGGCUGCAACCCGCCUGUAUGAAGUUGGAAUCGCUAGUAAUCGCGGAUCAGCAUGCCGCGGUGAAUACGUUCCCGGGCCUUGUACACACCGCCCGUCACACCAUGAGAGUCGGGAACACCCGAAGUCCGUAGCCUAACCGCAAGGAGGGCGCGGCCGAAGGUGGGUUCGAUAAUUGGGGUGAAGUCGUAACAAGGUACC